AACCUGCAGUACCCUCUUCUGCCUGCGUCCUGGAGGCGCUGCGAUCCCACGCAGGACACCACGUGUGACAGGAAUGGACGAGGGUCUGACGUCACGGCAGAAGAAGGGACCACAACAACAAAAAGACAUGCUCCCUUCCAGUUCUAUCUUGGAGGUUCUCUCUUAUCCAUCCAAGAUUUGAUAACUUCAAGGAACUUGCUGUUCCUUCACUGCCAACAUUCUAUGAAGAAGAAAUCUAUGUCACAGCAUGAGUAAAGUACCCGUUGCUACGGAAACCAUCGGAUACGAUCUUCUAAGCCACUUGCCUGUCUACAUGUAUACUUGAAAGACUGCCUGCCUGCCUGCCUGCUGUUCGACACCAUUAAAGAUGUCCAUCUCCAAAAGAAAUGUGAGCAAGAUCAAGUACUUUGUUCUAGAAACUGCCGUUUCUCCACUCAAGUAAUUGAGUGCACCUUCCGAGACCCAUAAGAAUUGGGUACUUGUGGUCUUGUAUCUCCACAUGACUGUGCAUCAACCAAUGUAUCCUGUACCUGCUUGCAAGAUUGUGGUUCUGUUUGAACUUUCCACUGCUGAUGUCACCACAAGACAUCGAGCUACAACCCUGCUGCUUGCAGCACUGGGAACCUUGUCACGUAACUAUUAAAUAUAAACUCUACUUUUCAUAUUACUUCAGUUGGCGCAUAGAUUAAGCAUAUGAUUCCUUAUCUAAAUGUUUGUUGAAAUGUAUAUUAAUCUAAGUUAUUACAUAUUCUGAAUUCAAAGGUUAUAUGAAACCAUUUCUGACUUAUGUAAAUGUAUGGUAUGAAUUCAGGUUUGAUACACAAUACUGACUGUUAAAUAUCCUUUCUUCUCACAUUAAGCUAGUUUGACCUCUAGUAUUUAGGAAUUCUCUAUUUUAUGUUGUUAGCCUGUGCUAUAAAUACAUUGAUGUAGUUAUAUUUUUAAA